UCCGGUUUGGCACCGGCAGUCCUCCCAGAGUCCCCGACUUGACUCGCUGGCAACUGGGAGCGGGGGUUGCGCUCGUUGCGGGACUUAACCCAACAUCUCACGACACGAGCUGACGACAGCCAUGCAGCACCUGUCUUGGGACUCCGAAGAGGGGCCGUGGUUUCUCACGGCUUUCCCCAAGAUGUCAAGCCCAGGUAAGGUUCUUCGCGUUGCAUCGAAUUAAAGAACAUGCUCCGCUGCUUGUGCGGGCCCCCGUCAAUUCUUUUGAGUUUUAGCCUUGCGACCGUACUCCCCAGGCGGAUGACUUCACGCGUUAGCUGCGUUACUAAAGGAUUUAACUCCUCCAACAACUAGUCAUCAUCGUUUAGGGCGUGGACUAC
rnacentral:misc_RNA from 1 species